AACGUAGGACGCAAGCGUUAUCCGGAGUUACUGGGCGUAAAGCGCGGGCAGGCGGUUGCUCAAGUCUGAUGUGAAAUCUCCUCGCUCAACGGGGAGCAGCCAUUGGAAACUGGGCAACUGGAGUCUGGCAGAGGUAGGCGGAAUUCCGGGUGGAGUGGUGAAAUGCGUAGAGAUCGACAAGAACACCGGUGGCGAAGGCGGGUCUCUGGACAGUUCCUGACGCUGAGGGACGAAAGCUAGGGGAGCAAACGGG
rnacentral:rRNA from 1 species